UUUCUCUCUUUUGGCGAGGACGGCGACAUGGUGGUGGUGCAACCCAGUACACCGGCGCGACUUCUUCCCCUUCCCUUCCCCUUCUCCGUGACCAACAGUGCUUCGUGGGUGUGUGUGUUGUGUUUUCUGAU